UCCCUCUCACCUGCGCACAAAAUUUCUUUGUGCCCAAAUGAGAGGGCAGUCUGAAGUGACAUAUAUAACACUUCACAGGGGUUGCGCUCGUUUCCCGACUGAACGGAACAUCUUACGACACGAGCUGACGACAACCAUGCAGCACCUGGUCUAGCACCCUCGAAGGACAUCCCAUUUCUGGGCUCUGCAGCUAGAUUUCAAACCUUGGUGAGGUGCCUCGCUCACUGUCGAAUUAAACCACAUGCUCCACCACUUGUGCGGAUCCCCGUCUAUUCCUUUGAGUUUUAAGCUUGCGCUCGUACUUCCCAGGCGGCAUACUUAACGCGUUAGCUCCGGCACAGAAAGGGUCGAUUCUCCCUGCACCUAGUAUGCAUCGUUUAGGGCGUGGACUA
rnacentral:misc_RNA from 1 species